CCUGAUAGAUCAGAUGGUAAAGAAUCUGCCUGCGAUGCAGAAGAUCCCUGGGUUUGAUCCCUGGGUCAGGA
rnacentral:tRNA from 1 species